rnacentral:rRNA from 1 species
GCUCAGAACGAACGCUGGCGGCAGGCUUAACACAUGCAAGUCGAGCGCCCCGCAAGGGGAGCGGCAGACGGGUGAGUAACGCGUGGGAAUCUACCCAUCACUACGGAACAACUCCGGGAAACUGGAGCUAAUACCGUAUACGUCCUUCGGGAGAAAGAUUUAUCGGUGAUGGAUGAGCCCGCGUUGGAUUAGCUAGUUGGUGGGGUAAAGGCCUACCAAGGCGACGAUCCAUAGCUGGUCUGAGAGGAUGAUCAGCCACACUGGGACUGAGACACGGCCCAGACUCCUACGGGAGGCAGCAGUGGGGAAUAUUGGACAAUGGGCGAAAGCCUGAUCCAGCCAUGCCGCGUGAGUGAUGAAGGCCCUAGGGUUGUAAAGCUCUUUCAACGGUGAAG